GACAACUACACGCCCGCUAUCUUGUUUGAAGGUGCAGCACAAUGCGUGAACAUGUAUCCACCCAGCGAGGAUGAUCCAGCGACGAGUGGCAGCACGUGUUGAGAUCCACACCUACAUCGGCACGUGGUUGAAUCUUGCGUGAACGACGGCGCGGCGCCAAUCUCCGAAGCAAGGCCCGCAUCAUGUGGAAAGGCGAAAAUCAGACACUUUGUCUGGCGAUGACUGCUGCAACAAAAGUGAGGUAGAGGAGGCGUCUACUGAUGCUGAGUGUUCUGCUGAGGAAAGGAGGAAGAGAGAAAAAACGACCUGAGACGUCUAUAGUGAAGGGGAAGUGGCGCCUAGUACAGAGGAGUCUGUCAGCUGCCGAUC